ACUCCUACGGGAGGCAGCAGUGGGGAAUCUUGCACAAUGGGCGAAAGCCUGAUGCAGCCAUGCCGCGUGAAUGAUGAAGGCCUUAGGGUUGUAAAAUUCUUUCGCCAGGGAUGAUAAUGACAGUACCUGGUAAAGAAGCCCGCCUAGCUACUGUGCCAGCAGCCGCGGUAAUACGGAGGGGUUAGCGUUGUUCGGAAUUACUGGGCGUAAAGCGCGCGUA
rnacentral:rRNA from 1 species